GUUGAAUGCAAAAAAGUGAAACUGCGAACGGCUCAUUAUAACAGAUAUAAUUUACCAGUUGGUUAAAACUUACACGGAUAACUGCGGUAAUUCUGGAGCUAAUACGUGCGGAAAGUUCAAUUCCUUUGGAGUUGAAUGCAUUUAUUGGUACAAAAUUAGUCAUUGGACGUUUUGUUAACUCUGGAUAAACUUGCAUAUCGUAUGGCUUUAUGCCGACGAAAAAUCUGUCAAGUAUCUGCCUUAUCAACUGUCGUUGGUGCUGUAUUGGAGUACCAUGGUAUUAACGAGUAACGGAGAAUAAGGGUUUGACUCCGGAGAGGGAGCCUUAGAAACGGCUACCAUGUCUAAGGAUAGCAGCAGGCGCGAAAAUUACCCAAUGUCAAAGCAACGAGGUAGUGAUGAGAAAUAACAAGACCGUUCUCUUUGAGGUCGGUCAUUGGAAUGAGUACAAUCCAGACACUUUAACGAGUAUCUACGAGAGGGCAAGUCUGGUGCCAGCAGCCGCGGUAAUUCCAGCUCUCGUAAGGUAUAGAAUUAUUGCUGUGGUUAAAAAGUUCGUAGUUGGAUGGUUAAAUGAAAAGCUUGGGUCUUGUUGAUUUUUAUAAUUGACUUGUACUCGAGUUUUUCUUAAUUUGUGUGUUCUUGUUGUUUUUUUUCAUUUUUUGAUUUAAAACAGCACCACACAAGAUUACUUUGAACGGCUCAAGUGCUUAAAGCACGUCUUAUGACUGAAUACCGGUGCAUGGAAUAAUGGAAUAAGGCUUCGGCCGGAUUUUAUUGGUUUUGCUGGCUGAAGCAAUGGUUAACAGGAACAGCCGGGGGCAUUUGUAUCGUUACGCGAGAGGUGAAAUUCGUGGACCGUAGCGAGACAAACUAAAGCGAAGGCACUUGCCAAGAGUGUUUUCAUUAAUCAAGAACGAAAGUCAGAGGUUCGAAGGCGAUUAGAUACCGCUCUAGUUCUGACCGUAAACGUUGCCAACUGUCGAUUCGCUUUGUGGAUUUAUUCAUAAGCGAGGAGAUUCCCGGAAACGAAAGUUUUUCGGUUCCGGGGGAAGUAUGGUUGCAAAGCUGAAACUUAAAGGAAUUGACGGAAGGGCACCACCAGGAGUGGAGCUUGCGGCUUAAUUUGACUCAACACGGGAAAUCUCACCCGGCCAGUACAUUGUAAGGAUUGACAGAUUGAUAGCUCUUUCAUGAUUCGGUGAAUGGUGGUGCAUGGCCGUUCUUAGUUCGUGGAUUGAUUUGUCUGGUUUAUUCCGAUAACGAGCGAGACUUUGACUAUUAAAUAGUUUUGUUGUUGAUUUUUUUCUGCAACAUUAAACUUCUUAAAAGAAUUUGGUGUUUACAGCAUCAAGAGAUUGAGCAAUAACAGGUCUGUGAUGCCCUUAGAUGUUCGGGGCCGCACGCGUGCUACAAUGAUGUUAGCAGCGUGAUUGUCCUUUUUCGAAAGAAAUUGGCAAACAGUUGAGAUAUUAUUAUGGCUGGAAUUGAGAGUUGAAAUUUUCUCUCAUGAACGAGGAAUUCCAAGUAAAUGCGAGUCAUUAACUUGCAUUGAUUACGUCCCUGCCCUUUGUACACACCGCCCGUCGCUGCCCGGGACUGGGUUACCUCGAGAAAACUAGGGAUUGCUGCAGUUUUAAACUUUUUCACAAAAGUUUGCUGUGUCGAAAACGAGUUUAAUCGCGGUGGCCUGAACCGGG
rnacentral:rRNA from 1 species